rnacentral:pre_miRNA from 15 species
CGACGUGGAUUUAAUUGGUCGGUGCCCUAUCAGUCAAUUUGGUUGUGAAACCUAGUAUUUAUUCGGGUAUCACAGCCAUUUUGACGAGUUUGGUUGACGACCUAUUCAUCGAAGAAUCA